UGAGGAAUAUUGGUCAAUGGUCGCUAGACUGAACCAGCCAAGUAGCGUGCGGGAUGAAGGCCCUCCGGGUCGUAAACCACUUUUAGACGGGGAUAAAAGGGCGUACGUGUACGCCGUAUUGCAUGUACCGUCAGAAAAACGGACCGGCUAAUUCCGUGCCAGCAGCCGCGGUAAUACGGAAGGUCCGGGCGUUAUCCGGAUUUAUUGGGUUUAAAGGGAGCGUAGGCGGACUUUCAAGUCAGUGGUAAAAUCGUGUGGCUCAACCAUACCUCGCCAUUGAAACUGGAAGUCUGGAGUGCACACAGGGGUGCCGGAAUUCAUGGUGUAGCGGUGAAAUGCUUAGAUAUCAUGAAGAACUCCGAUCGCGAAGGCAAGUGCCCGGGGUGCAACUGACGCUGAGGCUCGAAGGUGCGGGUAUCGAACAGGAUUAGAUACC
rnacentral:rRNA from 1 species